rnacentral:lncRNA from 1 species
GAAAUUAUUUAAUAAAUAAGUUAAGUCUGGAAGAAAAUUCUUAUUUAGACUCGUUCGUGCUCAAACUCAAAAUACAACAUGUUCCAUUACCUUACCUUUCUUUUUCUUCUAUCUUUUAGAAGCAACAAUACUUGCUCUUACACCACAUUCAUAGCCACACUGGACAAGAAGCAAUUGGUGCUUGAUUGAAUGUUGCAUGAUUAGGGUAGAUUAAUAGAAUAUGGGUCAAAGAAUGCGAACAACUUCAAAGUACUUGGCACCCACUGCCAUAAUAAUUGUCCAAGAGAGAAGAAGCAAGUUUUUCUGAGGAGCAAAGCCUUUUAUCAAUGCCUGUAGAGUAGCAAUUCAUGUAUACCAGUUCUGUACUUGUGAUGCGACUCAUAAGCUAUAAUCCCUGAAAAGGAACUAGUACAUGAUGAGCAGACAAUGAGAAAAAACAACAAUAUGAUAAGCCAAAAGUAGCAGCUCUUUCCAUACUUCCUACUUCAGAAAAUUUCCUUAUUACAUUUGCAUAACUGAGAGCGACCAAAUAUCUUGAAACAUAAAGUGGGGCAAGCCACACCAAAAGCACCAUCUCAAUCAUAAUGCAUAUUGAGAGAGUAGCAGGAGAUAGUUAAUUCCACAGAAUGCCGGUACAUUCGAUAUGUGGAGGACAUUGUCUCCAUGCUCCUAAAUCAUCACAACGUAUCAUUUUCACUUUUCAGACGGCAGAUUUUUUCCGACGCACCAAAGCACUCAUCCGCUAACCAUUUCCCCAUAACCUCAUAACCAUGACUGGAAGGAAGAGUCCAUAUAAGGUUGGUGACUUCGCGAAAGUCAGCUAUGGAGGUGAUGGAGAAGACACGGCGGAACGCCGCUGUGCUUGCAAUUACAAACAAGGGUAAGAGCACGGUCGAGGUUCUCGGAGAUAUCGAGGUGGUGCGGCGGAGACGGCGGUCUUAGAUGGCAGGAGUAGUGGAGACGAGGUGGACUGUGGAUCGUAGCAUCUGGGAGAGGCUGUCCACUCGUCUAGCUAGGUCGGAGCGAUCUUGUUUGGACGAUUCUGCUGCUUUUGCGAUUCGACCACUCGGUUAGCAAAUAAAAUUAGGAUAGUCUGCUCUUGCAGAGUCUUCUCUUCUUCACGGACAGCGGAAGCAGCAGCCGCCUUUUUUUUUUUUUUUAAUGUUUCCUUCCUCUAAUCAAAUACGCGAAAGCACCUCGUAUUUUAUAUUAGAUUUGAGCAAUCAAAGGUGAUGGGAUGUGUCCGUGUGCAAGAAUGAUGAAUAGAAUAAUUUAACGAUUGCGAAUUUUAUUUUAUCAAUUUUUAAAGAUAUCUGGGAAUGAGAAGAGAAGGGGACGAGAUUGACUAGUCUAUUAUUCAGAGAAGGACCUGGGAAAUGGGGCGGAAGAAGAAGGCCAAGUACGAAAUCUAUUUUAACCAAACUCACAAAUAUCAUUUCUAGCGUAAGCUUAAAGCAGGCGGUACAGUUUAAUGGUACAAGUCAUCUUUGGCUCCAUACCAAUUUCAGGAUCGAGCUGAAUCCGCGCCCUGUUAAUAAGGACUUUAUUCGUGGUUAAAAAAAUAAAAAAGCGAAGGCAAAUUCGCCUUUUAAUUUCUCAAGUAUACUUUUCUACAUUCCAGAAUUUAAAGCAUGCACAAGUCAUAAGAAG